UUGUUGGGAUCCAGAGGUUUUGUCAGUUUUUCUCCACUAGAGGGAGCCUGAGACCUUCUUCCUGAGGGCGUGGGUUGGCGUCUGUUAUCCUGCAGACCUGCUGCCCAUCUAGUCAUCUGGAGGCAUACAAGAGGAGGAGGCUGCUGACAUUUAUCUGCCAGAGUGUUAGCCAGUUAUGAUUUUUCUCUCGUUAUGUCCUGGCGUAUUCAAGUCAAGUCAAGAAGUUUGGUUCCCUGACUCAUUCCUCUGGACGUGGUGGGUGUUGUUCACUAGAGGUAUCAUUUACACCAUUCUCUCCAGCUGCAACUGAUCAUGGAUCAUCAGGUCAGCAGCCUACCUGUGAGAUGGAAUCCUCCUGCCUUCAAGUCUUACCUGUCCGUCCUCCAACGCUGCCGCUGACCUCUUCUCUCCAACCCGCUGACCAGCCUCAAGACUCCCAAAGCCCCCUCCCGGUCCAAAACCUCCCUGAACAGCAGCCCCGAGAUCUGGCCUGACAAACCUGGAUUCACAUUCUCAUUAUUUGUGUUCGUUGUAAAUAAA